rfam:Capsicum annuum cultivar Zunla-1 chromosome 4, whole genome shotgun sequence
GUUCCUUCGGGGACAUUCAAUAAAAUUGAAACAGUAUAGAGAAGAUUAGCAUGGGCUCUGCACAAGAAGGACACGUACAAAUCGAGUAUGGCCCUGUACAA